GAAUACACUGUACGGCACAAAGUGGAUGCCUUGACUCAUAUAUCCGAUGAAGGACGUGCAAGACUCACGAUAAGCCCCGGGAAGCUGUCAAGAAGCGUUAUACCCGAGGAUCUCCGAAUGGGGGAACCCAAUACGGUAAACCCGUAUUAUCUGCAGAGCAGAUGGACACCCAGCGAAUUGAAAUAUCUUAGUAACUGGGGAAAAGAAAUCAAACGAGAUUCCGUUAGUAGUGACGAGCGAAAGCGGAAGAGCCUAAACUCAUAGUGUGUCAAGCGUUAGAGCGUUGCACUGUGGGGGUUGUAAGAGCAUAUUACUGACUUCUAAUAGGUCAGACAAACAAAUAUCCUGGAUAGGAGAACCACUUGAAAAGAUGGACCGUAGAGGGUUACAGUCCCGUACUCGAAAUCCAAGAUAUUGAUUUGCAUGUGUUUCUUGAGUAGGGUCAGACACGAGAAAUCUGGCUUGAAUCUGGGGGGACCACCCUCCAAGGCUAAAGAGUAUAUGAGAUCGAUAGUGAACAAGUACCGUGAGGGAAAGGUGAAAAGAACCCCGGGAGGGGAGUGAAAUAGAACCUGAAACUUUGUGCCAAUAAAGAGUCGGAGCCUUCGGGUGACGGCGUACUUUUUGUAGAACGGACCAACGAGUUAGCUGUAUGUGGCAAGGUUAAGGAAGAGUUCAUCCGAAGCCGUAGGGAAACCGAGUCUGAAUAGGGCGACUAAGUCACAUGCACUAUACCCGAAACCUGGUGAGCUACCCAUGAGCAGGCUGAAGGUGGGGUAAAACCCACUGGAGGGCCGAACCAUUUGGAGCUGCAAGUCCAUUGGAUGACUUGUGGGUAGGAGUGAAAAGCUUAUCGAACUGGGAGAUAGCUGGUUCUCCGCGAAAUAUAUUUAGGUAUAGCCUCAUAAAGCAACGUACAGAGGUAGGGCUCUGAUAGGGCUAGCGGGUCGCAAGACUUAGCAACCCCUGAUAAACUUCGAAUGCUGUACGCCAAGUAUUAUGAGAGUCAGACAGUGACGGAUAAGCGCCAUUGUCAAAAGGGAAACAGCCCAGAUUGCUGUCUAAGGUCCCAAAGUUGUGGCUCAGUGGAAAAGGAGGUAGGAUUACAUAGACAACCAGGAUGUUGGCUUAGAAGCAGCCACUCAUUCAAAGAGUGCGUAAUAGCUCACUGGUCGAGUGAUCCCGCGCCGAAAAUUCAACGGGGCUUAAGCCACACACCGAAGACGCAAGUUGCACCUAGUGCAGCGGUAGCGGAGCGUUCUCUAUGCCAGUGAAGGUGAACCGGAAGGUUUGCUGGAGGUACGAGAAGUGAAAAUGUUGGUAUGAGUAACGUAAUGGAGAUGAAAACUCUCCACGCCGUAUGUCCAAGGUUUCCUAUCCAACGUCAAUCGUGGUAGGGUGAGCCGGUCCUAAGGUCAACCUGAAAGGGGUAGCUGAUGGAUAGCAGGUUAAUAUUCCUGCGCUACACGGUAUUCGUUAUCAUCUAUGGAGGGACGCAUAGUGUACAUGGAGUGGAUCUAAUGGAUUUCCACAUGUUUAUAAUCUGGCUGCGCAGGUAAAUCCACGCAGCAAUACAGAGAAGAAAGCAUCUAGCUUUCGAGAAGUCUUCGGACCUAUCGGAGGUCAAGUCCUACAUGUGCAUUGUGCCAAGAAAAUCUUCUACGAGAGAAUACCUGUAACCGUACCGUAAUCGAACACUCGUGGACUAGUGUGAGUACACUAAGGCGAACGGGAUAAUCAUGCUUAAGGAACUCUGCAAAACAGCGGUCGUAACUUCGGGAUAAGACCUCCCACAUCACUACUUUAAUGAUGUGGGCGCAGCUAACGAGCCCAGGCGACUGUUUACCAAAAACACAGCUCUCUGCAAACACGCAAGUGGAAGUAUAGGGGGUGAUGCCUGCCCAGUGCCAGAAGAUUACGUGGAGGGGUGCAAGCUCUGAAACUAAGUCCUGGUGAACGGCGGCCGUAACUAUAACGGUCCUAAGGUAGCGAAAUUCCUUGUCAGGUAAGUUCUGACCCGCACGAAUGGCAUAACGGUCUGGGCACUGUCUCAAGCAUGAUCCCGGUGAAAUUGCAAUAUCGGUAAAAAUGCCGAUUACUCGCAGCAAGACGGAAAGACCCUAUGAAGCUUUACUCUAACUUGGUACUGAGUUGUAUGAUAUGAUGCGCAGGAUAGGUGGGAGACUAUGAAACAGGAACUUCGGUUUUUGUUGAGUCGACGUUGAGAUACCACCCUUCAUAUUAUGCAACUCUCACCCAGCGCUUUGA
rnacentral:rRNA from 1 species